rnacentral:antisense_RNA from 1 species
CUCCCUGGUACCAUACCCCAGCCGAUGAGUAUGUACCCCCAGAAGUACUUCCGCUCGGAGAAGAAGGAGACGGCAAGCAGGGUGUACAGGAAGGCCCAGAACCAGCCUGAUGUCAGGAUCAGAACAAAAGAGGAGGACUGCAUAUGUAUGGACCCACUCCAGAUGGCACGGGGACGGGGGGGAGUAGGAAAAGUGGCAUGGUGAGCAGAGCCCUGGCUAUGCAGGUGGCAGAUGACUGAUUAGAAAACCAGCUCAAGGUCAUGUUGCUGCUCUCUCAUUCCUGUUGAGGGCUCUCUGGUGGAGCCUGUCUCACAGGCCACCUGCAGGCCAACACUCCCAGAAGCAGCUAGCACCAUGGUUGACCUCGUCCA